ACUCCUACGGGAGGCAGCAGUGGGGAAUAUUGCACAAUGGGCGCAAGCCUGAUGCAGCCAUGCCGCGUGUAUGAAGAAGGCCUUCGGGUUGUAAAGUACUUUCAGCGGGGAGGAAGGCGAUAAGGUUAAUAACCUUGUUGAUUGACGUUACCCGCAGAAGAAGCACCGGCUAACUCCGUGCCAGCAGCCGCGGUAAUACGGAGGGUGCAAGCGUUAAUCGGAAUUACUGGGCGUAAAGCGCACGCAGGCGGUCUGUCAAGUCGGAUGUGAAAUCCCCGGGCUCAACCUGGGAACUGCAUUCGAAACUGGCAGGCUAGAGUCUUGUAGAGGGGGGUAGAAUUCCAGGUGUAGCGGUGAAAUGCGUAGAGAUCUGGAGGAAUACCGGUGGCGAAGGCGGCCCCCUGGACAAAGACUGACGCUCAGGUGCGAAAGCGUGGGGAGCAAACAGGAUUAGAUACCCGAGUAGUCCC
rnacentral:rRNA from 1 species